GUUUCUGAUCGUGUUUUUUGUUUCAUCGUAAAUGUUUCUAUUCGAAGAACACUGACAACUUUUUUCAAAUGAAUUUAACUGUCCGUGUUUUCAAGAUAAAAAGAAAGGAGAAAAAAAAUAACACAAAACCAAAAGUACUCAUAUGACUUGAAAUCAUAGUUAACCUUAUCUGAAUUUAGCUGUUCCUUUAAGGAGUCGUUAAGUCAAAU
rnacentral:lncRNA from 1 species